rnacentral:rRNA from 1 species
UGGGGAAGACUAACAAGGAUUCCCUCAGUACGGGCGACGGAAGCGGGAAAAGCCCACAUUGGUAAUCCACGGGCGCUAGCUCGCGGAAUUGUAAUCUGAAGAUCGUUAGUCCAUAUGGAUCCGGCGCUCAAGUGCGUACGAGCGCGCCGCCAGAGAGGGUGAGAGCCCCGUCCGGCGCUGGGUCCUACACGGGCUGGCAAUCGAAGAGUCGUGUACUUUGAUACUAGUGCACUAAGCGGGAGAUAAACUUCUUCUAAGGCUAAAUACAAGUAGGAAACCGAUAGCGAACAAGUACUGUGAAGGAAAGAUGAAAAGCACUUUGGAAAGAAAGUUAAAAGACUUGAAAUCGUUGAGGCGGACCCGGUAGAAAUGUAUUCUAGCGACGCGCCCUGGGAAGCCUGUACGCGGGCCACUCGGGCGCCAGCCGAGACAAGAUGGGGUCGUCCGAUGCCAGAGGCCGUGCGCGAGGGAGCUUGCUUCAGCGCGCGCUGGCCGGGUGUCGAGCGGCUCGAGGGGCCUUGUGCGAUCUUGUCAAAAUGGUUUUUACCGACUCGUCUUGAAACACGAACCAAGGAGUCUAAGACUAACGCGAGUGUGGUGGUGGAGAAACCAACACGCGUAAUGAAAGUAAAUGAUGCCAGGCACCCUGCAGCAUCGACCGACCACUUUCUUCUGGAAGAGGUUUGAGUAAGAGCGUUAUUCUUAGGACCCGAAAGAUGGUGAACUAUGCCUGUGUAGGGUGAAGUCAGGGGAAACUCUGAUGGAAGCUCGUAGCGAUACUGACGUGCAAAUCGUUCGUCGAACAUGGGUAUAGGGGCGAAAGACUAAUCGAACCAUCUAGUAGCUGGUUCCCUCCGAAGUUUCCCUCAGGAUAGCUGGGACAAGUACGCAGUUUUAUUAGGUAAAGCGAAUGAUUAGAGGCAUCGGGGAUGAAAUGUCCUUGACCUAUUCUCAAACUUUAAAUUGGUAAGAACUCCUCUCUUUCCUUAAGUGAAGAAGGAGGUUCAAUGCGUGUCCUUAGUGGGCCAUUUUUGGUAAGCAGAACUGGCGAUGAGGGAUGCUCCUAACGUCGGGUUAAGGUGCCAAACUACACGCUCAUCAGAAACUACAAAGGGUGUUAGUUCAUGAAGACAGCAGGACGGUGGCCAUGGAAGUCGGAACCCGCUAAGGAGUGUGUUACAACUCACCUGCCGAAUGAACUAGUCCCGAAAAUGGAUGGCGCUAAAGCGUGUGACCGAUACCCGACCAUUGGUGCGAGAGUUAGGCAUCAAUGAGUAGGAGGGCGUGGGCGUCGUGGCGAAGCCUCUAGCGUGAGCUUGGGUUGAACGGCGUCUAGUGCAGAUCUUGGUGGUAGUAGCAAUUAUUCAAAUGAGAACUUUGAAGGCCGAAGUGGAGAAGGUUUCCAUGAGAACAGCAAUUGGUCAUGGGUGACUCGAUCCUAAGACAUGGGGGAAAUCCUUGUUAAGUGCGCGCCAGCGCGUAGUCGAAAGGGAAUGAGGUUAAUAUUCCUCAAGCUGGAUGUGGACGUUAAGUGGCAACACAAACGAACUUAGAGCCGCCAGCGUGAGCCUCUGGAAGAGUUGUCUUUUCUUUUUAACAGGCUAGCGUCCCUGAAAUUGGUUUACCCAGAGAUAGGGAGGCAUGCCUGGAAGAGCACCCUGCGUUUCGGGGUGUCAGGUGCGCUCAUGAUGGUCCGUGAAAACCUAAGUAAGAUAGUAUCACACCAGGUCGUACCCACAACCGCAUCAGG